rnacentral:rRNA from 1 species
AGCAUAUCAAUAAGCGGAGGAAAAGAAACCAACAGGGAUUGCCCUAGUAACGGCGAGUGAAGCGGCAACAGCUCAAAUUUGAAAUCUGGCGCAAGCCCGAGUUGUAAUUUGUAGAGGAUGCUUCUGGGUAGCGACCGAUCUAAGUUCCUUGGAACAGGACGUCAUAGAGGGUGAGAAUCCCGUAUGUGACCGGCCCGCACCCUUUACGUAGCUCCUUCGACGAGUCGAGUUGUUUGGGAAUGCAGCUCUAAAUGGGAGGUAAAUUUCUUCUAAAGCUAAAUACCGGCCAGAGACCGAUAGCGCACAAGUAGAGUGAUCGAAAGAUGAAAAGUACUUUGGAAAGAGAGUUAAAAAGCACGUGAAAUUGUUGAAAGGGAAGCGCCUGCAACCAGACUUCGCGGCAGUGUUCCGCCGGUCUUCUGACCGGUUCAUUCUCUGUCGCGAGGCCAUCAUCGUCUGGGCCCGCCGGAUAAGACCUGAGGAAUGUGGCUCCCCCUCGGGGGAGUGUUAUAGCCUCUGGUGAUGCGGCGUGGCUCGGGCGAGGUCCGCGCUUCGGCAAGGAUGAUGGCGUAAUGGUUGUCGGCGGCCCGUCUUGAAACACGGACCAAGGAGUCUAACAUCUAUG